AUGCAAAGGCGCCGCGCGUCGCGGUUGGACAGGCGUCGGCGGAAGGCGUUGGCGAAUGCGCAGUCCGACCUCGUUGCAGCAGGUGGGCGGUCGUUCUUCACGCCGAACGAUGAGCGGUGGCUGGACAUCUGGCUAUCUACCUCGGACGACACCGCCGAGGAUGAUAGUGGUGAUGAUGAUAGCGACUUAGAGUAG
rnacentral:rRNA from 1 species